UUGGACGUUUGACAUUUCAGGGUCCAGCAACAAAAAACCCCGACUUAAUCGGGGUUUUUUGUUAUCUGAAUCUUCCUUUUUCAAGGAAAUCAGAUAGUUGCUUGGUUUUAGUAUUGGGCUCUGAGCCCUUUUUUU
rfam:Vibrio sp. 2756-81 Vn_2756-81_contig1, whole genome shotgun sequence.